rnacentral:tRNA from 1 species
UAGCCUUGCUUACGGGGCUGCGCCCCCCCCAA